GAACCUUUAAUUGCUACCUAACACCUAACUGCUAUGGAAAGUUAUCAUGUACUCAAUAUGUAGGUUAUUGUAUGGUGCUUAUAUGGGGUCAUCACUUUCUGUGUGAUGCAUAACUAGAAGCGAGGGUAAAUGGGAGAUAUUUCAUACAUUAUCAUUUUGUAUUGUUAAUUAGAGAUGUGUCUUCUUGACAAUGUAUUAUGGACAGUUUGCUGGAACAAAAUGAGAAUUCAGAUGGCUGAGAUGAGAUAAUUACCUCAAACACCCAAACUAUACUACCUAAAUACUCCAAAUA